UACGUAGGCAGCGAGCGUUGUUCGGAGUUACUGGGCGUAAAGCGUGCGUAGGCGGUUUUGUAAGUUUGGUGUGAAAUCUCCCGGCUCAACUGGGAGGGUGCGCCGAAAACUGCAAGGCUGGAGUGUGGGAGAGGUAGGCGGAAUUCCCGGUGUAGCGGUGAAAUGCGUAGAUAUCGGGAGGAACAUCAGUGGCGAAGGCGGCCUUCUGGUCCAGUACUGACACUCAAGUGCGAAAGCGUGGGGAGCAAACAGG
rnacentral:rRNA from 1 species